rnacentral:rRNA from 1 species
AUACAGAGGGUGCGAGCGUUAAUCGGAAUUACGGGGCGUAAAGCGCGCGUAGGCGGCUUGGUCAGUCGGAUGUGAAAGCCCCGGGCUCAACCUGGGAAUGGCAUUCGAUACUGCCAGGCUAGAGUAUGGGAGAGGGAAGUGGAAUUUCCGGUGUAGCGGUGAAAUGCGUAGAUAUCGGAAGGAACACCAGUGGCGAAGGCGACUUCCUGGCCCAAUACUGACGCUGAGGUGCGAAAGCGUGGGGAGCGAACAGGAUUAGAAACCCUAGUAGUCC